GAUACAGAAGACAACGUGGCAAUCUCCCUGUACUGUGUAAUCUAGUUCUGCGAUCUGGAGUUUGUAUUGGAUUCUGUCUCUAUACAACUGAAAUGGCUUUGUGUGCUCCAAUCCACAAAUUGUCCAUUGCAUCCUCAUUAUCAAGUGGAAAUAAUGCAAGAGCCAGAAGAACAAGGAAAAAAGAAUUGAUGAUUGUGCAGAUGACGGCAUCGUGGGACGUGGCAGCGUAUGAGGAGGGACAGCUGGAACGACCCAAGUGGGCAGGAGAGACGCCUCUCUCUCGUCUUGUUGCAGCUCUCAUUUCUGUCAAGCCCAUCUACACAGUCCUCAAGUCUGGCGCCAGACAAGUUCUCAUCAGUACAGCUGAAAAAAAUAACAUUCCUUGGCGGGAAAUGAGCAAAGAAAUUUUGGAGUCAGAUGUUUACAAGGAGAUGGAGAGCAUUCAAAAUCCCUCCAUUGUGUACCCAGAUUACUAUCUGAAUCCUUUUCAUGCAUAUGAUGAAGGCAAUCUUUCAUGGCUGGCUGCAGCAGAAGCAGAGGCUGCAGACUUGUCGAUGACAAGACGAGCAAUACCAUUUGCUUCUUCAGUUGAUGAAGCAAAUUGUAUAAUGCGUGGAAAUUGGCUUCAAACAAUCAAACUACAUCAUCAACAGUAUUGUGGUGAGAUCAGAGACAUUCUAGAUAUUGGAUGCUCUGUUGGUGUGAGCACAAGAUUUCUUGCUCAAUACUUCCUUUCUGCUAAAGUCACGGGGCUAGAUCUGUCACCUUACUUUCUUGCUGUAGCACAAUAUAAGGACAAGAGAGGAACCCCAAGAAAGAAUCCAAUCAGCUGGAUACAUGCAAAUGGAGAAGACACAGGCUUGCCUUCUAAAUCAUAUGACCUUAUCUCCCUAUCUUAUGUGCUCCAUGAAUGUCCUGAACGAGCAAUAAUUGGUUUAUUGGGGGAAUCAUUUCGGCUGCUUCGACCUGGAGGCACCAUUGCUUUGAAUGAUAUUGCACCAAAGUCAAAGACUCUUCAGGAACUGCCUCCAGUGUUGUUUACAUUAAUGAAGAGCACCGAGCCAUUUCUAGAUGAAUACUUCCUGACUGAUCUGGAAGGAAGAAUGAGGGAAGUUGGGUUUGUAAAUAUAAAAUCAGUUCUCACCGACCCUAGGCACAGAACCGUGACAGCAAGUGUGCCACAUUAACAAGUUAAUGUUCUCUCUGCAGCAUACUCCAUUUUCUGUGAGAUACCACAAGGAAUAGCGCAGCUUCAUACAGGUGGUCGCCUUCUGCAUGCUUUUUAUAGGUAUUGGAUUCCAGAAAAGAGCACAGGCGUAUGAUUUUCAAUCAGCUCUACAUGAUCACACGAAGUAUCCCUCCAUCUACCUCUUUGCAUUACAUAUCUUUUUGUCAUACUCUUUAUGAAUGGUCGCUUAAGUAGAUGAUUGUACCGCCGUGAUUAUAACGUGCUUUAAAUUGUAUAAAAGAUAUCUGAACAACAAGAGAACGGCAGAAGAGAUGAAGGCCUUUUGAUUUC